rnacentral:misc_RNA from 1 species
UGCAUGAAAGUGGAUUUAGUGCCUGGAAAAGUUAAGAUACAUAAUUAACCAUGUGAGAGUGGAGAACCUCUUAAAGUAGAUGGCAAAGGAACGAAUAACAUGCAACCAUGUACAUGUCAUAAUCUUAAUUGUACUCAACUACCUAUCCCACUGUUUCAGAACCUAAUAACAUACAGUGGUGGAUGGUGUUGGCAAUACUGAUGUAUUAUUAGGUUCUG